rnacentral:rRNA from 1 species
UACGUAGGGUGCAAGCGUUGUCCGGAAUUAUUGGGCGUAAAGAGCUCGUAGGCGGUUUGUCGCGUCUGCUGUGAAAACGCGAGGCUCAACCUCGCGCCUGCAGUGGGUACGGGCAGACUAGAGUGCGGUAGGGGAGAUUGGAAUUCCUGGUGUAGCGGUGGAAUGCGCAGAUAUCAGGAGGAACACCGGUGGCGAAGGCGGGUCUCUGGGCCGAUACUGACGCUGAGGAGCGAAAGCGUGGGGGAGCGAACAGG